UACGAGUGCCCCAAGCGUUAUCCGGAAUCACUGGGCAUAAAGCGCACGUAGGCGGUGUCGUAAGUCGGGUGUGAAAUCCCUCGGCCUAACCGAGGAACUGCGCCCGAUACUGCGAUGCUUGAGGACCAGAGGGGUGCAUGGAAUUUCCGGUGGAGCGGUGAAAUGCGUUGAUAUCGGAAGGAACUCCGGCGGCGAAAGCGAUGCACUGGCUGGUUUCUGACGCUGAGGUGCGAAAGCCAGGGGAGCAAACGGG
rnacentral:rRNA from 1 species